UAUCGGUCCCCUCGCAAUGAUUAACUAUCAACCUGGUCAGAUCCGGAAGGAAGCAGCCAUAGUAGUGAACUCAUGUGCCGGGGUGUGGCUGAUAGGG
rnacentral:SRP_RNA from 1 species